AUCUUUCUCAUGCCUCCUUGAACUUGUUACAUUUGCACCACAUUUUUUCAAAUUCAUGACUAUGGUCAAUGCUAUCAUUUGUUGGUGUUUGUAUAAUACAAUUAUAUUUGAUAUAUAAGAACAAUAUCACGAGUAGUCUUUCUCUUUCGUUUUCCUUUCUGGAUUUCAUUAUACUGACAUCGAUAUCUUCAAUACUUUUUCUCCACUGUUCCAUUUUUCAUUAAAGCUUACACUUUACUUGUGCUUUGCACUUAAAGCCCCAAGUCCCAAUAGACCUUAGAGAAUUUUUAUGCUUUUCGCUUUUGAUAUCACUGUGGUAGGCUGAAAAAAGGCAAUAGAGCAUGUAGUGCUUCCUGAUAAAAAUAAAAGUAAUUUUUUUUAGAAAAUGUACUACUUUACUGGAGGGGAUGGGUGUUGUUGAUCUCAGGUAUUUCACAAACAGUUUGCCCACCUGGUACAACUACAAGUGUACAGGCCCAUGUUGUGCAUUGCUAGAAUCCAACGUGUGUGUCGAAGUAAAUCCCUCUUAAGGUGGUUCUUUGUGACAAUGAAGGUGAGAAGUGGGAUGUUGGACCAUUGGAGGAGGAUUAGUGUAAAUGGAGACCAGAAGGCUGUGAAACAUGGAGUGUCCCCCUCCCCCCCCCCCCCCGCUGUAGAGAUAUGAUGUAUACAUUGUCAUUUCUUUGUUGACUCCUUUUACUUGUAUAUAGGAGAAAAUUAUGUUAUGUUUGACCAUCCACUGUUAAAGAUUGAUUUUACUUGAACCUCUAUAUGUGACAGCUAACUGCAUAUGAAUCACAUAUAUUGAAAGUUAAAAGUGAAGAUUGUAGUUGCUUGAUGCAAAGCAAUUUCUAGCGAAGGGAUUCUCUUCGUCUUUGUUUUGAUUGAUGAACUUUUUGACGAUAUCAGUGAACUAAAUCUACCUGAAACAUGUAGCAUAUCAUUCCCUAACGGAAAAGAUGACCUCAUGAACUUUGAAGUCACCAUUCGUCCUGAUGAAGGAUAUUAUGUGGGUGGAACUUUUGUCUUCUCUUUCAGCAUUUCUUCUAUUUAUCCUCCUGAGGCUCCAAAGGUCAAGUGCAAGACUAAGGAGACCAUAAGAAAUUGGAAAUGGAUAAUCUGCUUACUAUUUUGACUCCCACGGUUUCAACUCAACUAUGAAUUGUAUAUGUCAAGGUUCGGAUAAAAGAAAGGAUCAUGAUGAAGUUUCUCCAAUAAAUGAUGGAUUUUUGGGUUUUUGAUUCUUUCGGACAAAACGUUAUAGAACUGCGGUAUAUGGUUAUCUAAAUAGAAGAGUUGAUGUUGUGCCUUCAACUGGCAUGAGUUUGUGGCUGUAGCAGUACUUAAUCCUAAGAAAAGUGAAGCUUCUCUUACACUUUUAAUUUUUUUAUUCAUUAGUUUAAAGGAAACUAAUGACUUUAAUUUCAACUAUUGUCUGGCGUGUCAAAAUUUUAUUUGCUUAGACUUUUAAUUUUUUUAUUGAACAAGUUGGAAUGCAAUCUCAAGAGGAAGUAGUUGAUGAA